AUGACGGCCUGUACCCGAAACCGACACAGGUGGGGUGGUAGAGAAUACCGAGGGGCGCGAGAUAACUCUCUCUAAGGAACUCGGCAAAAUGGCCCCGUAACUUCGGGAGAAGGGGUGCCACCGCAAGGUGGUCGCAGUGAAGAGGCCCAGGCGACUGUUUACCAAAAACACAGGUCUCCGCUAAGUCGCAAGACGAUGUAUGGGGGCUGACGCCUGCCCAGUGCCGGAAGGUUAAGGAAGCUGGUCAGCGCAAGCGAAGCUAGCGACUGAAGCCCCGGUGAACGGCGGCCGUAACUAUAACGGUCCUAAGGUAGCGAAAUUCCUUGUCGGGUAAGUUCCGACCCGCACGAAAGGCGUAACGAUCUGGGCGCUGUCUCGGAGAGAGGCUCGGCGAAAUAGAAUUGUCUGUGAAGAUGCGGACUACGUGCACCCGGACAGAAAGACCCUAUGAAGCUUUACUGUAGCUUGGUAUUGUGCCCGGGCUCUGAAUGCGCAGGAUAGGUGGGAGGCUUUGAUCCAUUGCUUGUGGGUGAUGGUGAGCCACUGGUGAGAUACCACUCUUUCAGAGCUAGGGUUCUAGCGGUCACCCGUUAUCCGGGGACCGGACAGUAUCAGGUGGGCAGUUUGACAGGGGCGGUCGCCUCCUAAAAGGUAACGGAGGCGCGCAAAGGUUCCCUCAGGCUGGUUGGAAAUCAGCCGACGAGUGUAAAGGCAGAAGGGAGCUUGACUGUGAGACCUACAAGUCGAACAGGGACGAAAGUCGGCCUUAGUGAUCCGACGGUUCUGAGUGGAAGGGCCGUCGCUCAACGGAUAAAAGUUACUCUAGGAUAACAGGCUGAUCUCCCCCAAGAGUUCACAUCGACGGGGAGGUUUGGCACCUCGAUGUCGGCUCAUCGCAACCUGGGGCUGAAGUCGGUCCCAAGGGUUGGGCUGUUCGCCCAUUAAAGCGGUACGCGAGCUGGGUUCAGAACGUCGUGAGACAGUUCGGUCCAUAUCCGGUGCACGCGCAGGAACAUUGAGAGGAUUUCUCCCUAGUACGAGAGGACCGGGAGGAACGCACCUCUGGUGUACCAGUUAUCGUGCCAACGGUAAACGCUGGGUAGCCAUGUGCGGAGCGGAUAACCGCUGAAAGCAUCUAAGUGGGAAGCCCACCUCAAGAUGAGUGUUCCCAUGGCAUAAGCCAGUAAGGUCACGGGAAGAACACCCGUUGAUAGGCUCUACGUGGAAGCGUGGCAACACGUGAAGCGGAGGAGUACUAAUAGACCGAGGGCUUGACCAU
rnacentral:rRNA from 1 species